rnacentral:rRNA from 1 species
GACGAACGCUGGCGGCGUGCUUAACACAUGCAAGUCGAACGGAAAGGCCCUGCUUUUGUGGGGUGCUCGAGUGGCGAACGGGUGAGUAACACGUGAGUAACCUGCCCUUGACUUUGGGAUAACUUCAGGAAACUGGGGCUAAUACCGGAUAGGAGCUCCUGCUGCAUGGUGGGGGUUGGAAAGUUUCGGCGGUUGGGGAUGGACACGCGGCUUAUCAGCUUGUUGGUGGGGUAGUGGCUUACCAAGGCUUUGACGGGUAGCCGGCCUGAGAGGGUGACCGGCCACAUUGGGACUGAGGUACGGCCCAGACUCCUACGGGAGGCAGCAGUGGGGAAUAUUGCAUAAUGGGCGGAAGCCUGAUGCAGCAACGCCGCGUGCGGGAUGACGGCCUUCGGGUUGUAAACCGCUUUCGCCUGUGACGAAGCGUGAGUGACGGUAAUGGGUAAAGAAGCACCGGCUAACUACGUG